rnacentral:rRNA from 1 species
UACAGAGGUCCCAAGCGUUGUUCGGAUUCACUGGGCGUAAAGGGUGCGUAGGUGGUCGGGUAAGUCUGAUGUGAAAUCUUCGAGCUCAACUCGAAAAUGGCAUUGGAUACUAUUCGGCUGGAGGGUUGGAAGGGGGACUGGAAUUCUCGGUGUAGCAGUGAAAUGCGUAGAUAUCGAGAGGAACACCGGUGGCGAAGGCGAGUCCCUGGACAAUUCCUGACACUGAGGCACGAAAGCUAGGGGAGCAAACGGG